UUUAGGUACGGCGACAUUGUUCCGGUCACGGUGAUGGGAAAAAUUUUCGGAGGCAUUUGCUCACUUUCGGGCGUUCUCGUCAUAGCUCUUCCCGUGCCUGUCAUUGUCUCCAAU
rfam:Echinococcus granulosus EG_S00015, whole genome shotgun sequence.